rnacentral:tRNA from 1 species
GACGGUAUAGCUCAGUGGUAGAGUGCAUGCCUAGCAUGUAUGAGGUCCUGGAUUCAAUCCCCAGUAUCUCCA